rnacentral:tRNA from 1 species
CAAGACGUAGCUAUAACCCCAAAGCACUCAGCUUACACCUGAAAGAUAUCUGCUAACCAGAUCGUCUUGA